rnacentral:lncRNA from 1 species
UCAUUUUGCUCUAAAACCGGCUACGGGUAAAAUAGUAUUUGAAAUAUUCGAGAAGGUCAAGUUCAAACUGGGUAAGAAGUUAUUAGGUGGUGCUAAUAAUUCAAAACGGGGAAGAAAGUAGGUUGAAACUACAGAUGUCGCAGACGCGGAAGAAUGUAUUCGAUAGCACCAUCGGAUUCUUAGGCUUAUCGGGCAAGGC